UAAUUUGGUAAGUGUCCAGAUUUUUCAGUUAACCAUUAUUCAAGUCAGAUUUUGAUCUAUUAUUUUUAAACCAUUUAUCUCUUUCCACAUAUUUGGAUAUUUGGUUAUUUUAGAUAGUUGAUGAUUUCUUAUACCAUUCUCUUCAUGUGGCAUCCCUGAAGACACCGGAGGUCAGUGACUCCUGUGUCCUGGAAGUCAUGAAUCCAGCCUGGGCUUUUCUAUGCAUUUAAACAGAGCUGUCCAAGGUGCUGUACAUCUUUUGGAGUUAAGCUUCAGCACCUAGAGUAGCCCAUGUAAAAGUCUGACUAAAAGCUGGAGUGAAUUUACCGCGCCCCCCCCCAUGAUGACCUGGUGCCAACCUGGCAACCUUAAUGAGACCGAGGCCUCCAAUGAAAGGAAAACAACGGAAAAGCAAAAGUGUGCAGCAGAGUAUGCCAUGUUACGCUAUUUUCUGCAAUCGUUCAGGUUUGUUUGACUGAUUAUUUAUUUAUUUUUAUUUUUUGUUCCAAACUAAGGAAGAGGGAUAAGUAAGGGCAGGUUGGAGGGGGGAGCACUUCACAGUUGUCUAGCAACUCAGAACACACUCCCUAGACACUUCUGGGUUCUGUGGACGUGAUUAGGGAGCAUGACCUAUAGUUGCUAAGCAACAACAAAGCACUAAGCAACUAGGAAGAGACUGCAAGAAUCAAUUCAAAGUAAGACUGUUAUAUUUAGGAACAACUGUGGGAUUCUAUCAUCCCAGAAAGACAUCUGCAUUGGAAACAAACCUUAACAGGUACUGUUUUAGCGAAGAAUCCAAACUCCCAGAUCCAUUGGCUGGUAGGUGUUAGCAGAGAGCAGAGAGAGACCUCUGUCAAGAAGCAACCUUUUAGAAAAAUCCCUACAUAAUGGCCAACCAACUGUAUGCUGUCUCUUGCCUGCACACGAAAGAGGCUUCCUGCAGCUUCCAACUCCUCUAGAUUUUUAUCAGCCACUCACAGCAUCCUCUCCAUGGCAGCUGCUGCCAGAGUGGAUUUAGAGGAAUAUUGUGUUACCUCCAGCAUUUGA
rnacentral:lncRNA from 1 species